GGGGAAGAGAACUGGAGUUUGAGUGCACAAAAAAGGCCAUAUAGGGGCCCAGGGAGAAGGCAGCUAUCUACAACUCAAGACCUCAUCAGACACUAACUCUUCUGGCACUGUUAUCUUAGACUUCUGACUUUCAGAAGUGUGAAAAGAUAAAUUUCUGUCGUUUAGGUUACCAAGUUUGUGGCAUUUUGUGAUGGCAGCCUGAGGAGACUAUUAGGUAGACAUUUUGAUGGAUAAAGGCGAAGAUUUUAACUCUGUCAAUAUGGUACUCUAUGACAUGGCCACAACCCACUCUCUCUGCCUACAGUCGCCCUGUAGGUUGCACAACAUGAAUCUGAAAUCACUCUACCCCAAAACAACAAUAACAACAACAACAACAACAACAACAACAACAGUCUUUGUUUAA
rnacentral:lncRNA from 1 species